CUUUCCUUUCGGCUGUGGGUCAGAGUCUACACUUCACUAAACCUGGGAUGGAGGCGUGGAGGACUUGCUUCGCGGCGUUUGCGUCCUCGCAGGCGCCUCGCAGGGCUUCCUGCCCUCACGGCGGAGUAGUAGCUUUGGCGAAAAGCAGUACGAGUUCUGCAGUUUUUCCAAGCGCUUUUAGGGUGUAAUCGUCCCAGGUUUCUAAGCCAAGGCCCGGAGAGAUUGACCCCCUCGCAACAGCUUGUGUGUCCUUGCAGCGCCGCGGGUGCCACUUGGUCUCUGCCCCAACGCUGCCUCGGCUUCUUCGGUUCCCGCCAGCGGGAACGACCGUCCCCACUUUCAGUUGAAACUCAUUUGUCCUUCCGGAUCCAGCUCAGAGAUCUCUUUGUGAUGCCCUCCUGGAACUUCCCCCCAGUAAUCCUUCCUUUGUAUUCCCGUGGCUCUUUGAUAAUAAUGGUUGGAGUCCUGAACCCGACCCUUUGUAUCGGACCGUGUUUGUCAUUUCCAGUGCUUUAUGAAGGCCUUGAAAGCAAGGUUCAGCCGUCUGUAUUGGUCAUCUUCCCGUUGCCAGUGCCUACGAAGGGCUUGACCCAUUCAUUGUUAGACGCUCAGUAAGUGUGUAUUGAGGCAGCCCUCUGUGCUGCUCCAGGGCUCUUUCCACUAAAUCAUGAGUAUGUUGGUUUACCAGAUGGAAUGAGUAGCCUCUUCUUUGGAUACAUAAACACCUGAUGGAUAUUGUGGGCCACUGUGGAGGGAGAUGAACAUAUGGGAUCCCUGACCUGUGGUUACUUGAAAACAGUUGACAUUUAGAGAGAGAGGCUGAAUUCUUGGGCUUCCCGUAGCCCCCAUCCUGAGUGUGCCAACAGGGACUAGAAGCAUCUCUAGUCUGCAAAGCCAGGAACAAGUGAUACUGUGUCCAAUUUUUCCAAUAUUGUUAUACUCAUGAAUAGAGAUUAAUGAAAUUGAAGAGCAUAUUCAAGAGAAAGACUAAAGGAGAGGUCGUCUGCCCUGUGGACAGGCAGCUUGAGUGGUGCUUGAAAAAAUGUACAUGAAAUUGCUUCUUAAAAAAUAUUCACGCCUGUAAUCCCAGCUCUUUUGGGAGGCCGAGGCGGGCAGAUUACUAGGUCAGGAGAUCGAGACCAUCCUGGCGAACACGGUGAAACCCCGUCUCUACUAAAAAUACAAAAACAAAAUUAGCCGGGUGUGGCGGCGGGCGCCUGUAGUCCCAGCUAUUGGGGAGGCUGAGGCAGGAGAAUGGCGUGAACCCGGGAGGCGGAGCUUGCAGUGAACGGAGAUGGCGCCACUGCAAUCCAGCCUGGGCGACAGAGCGAGACUCCGUCUCAAAAAAAAAAAUUUAUGUAUAUAUGUAUAUAUCCAUCAGAGACAUGUAAAGGAUUAAUGUACGAUACACAAAG
rnacentral:antisense_RNA from 1 species